rnacentral:snRNA from 1 species
AUACUUGCCUGAUAGGGGAGACACCGCGGGCGGUCAUGAUGGGGAUGUUCCCCGGGGAGGCUUAUGCACUGCAUUCCAGAUGUGCUUACUCUGGUUUCCCCAAAUGUGGAAAACUUAAGGGCAUAAUUAAAAUUUUAAUAAUAAUGAUAUGGCCCAUCU